rnacentral:rRNA from 1 species
AACAGUGGCUAAGACUGGAUAGGAAGAAAUAAGGCAUCUUAUUUCUUUUAAAAGACCUAGUAAUAGGUAUACUUUAGGAGGGGCUUGCGCCAUAUUAGUUAGUUGGUAGGGUAAUGGCCUACCAAGACGAUGAUGUGUAGCUGGACUGAGAGGUUGAACAGCCACAUUGGGACUGAGACACGGCCCAAACUCCUACGGGAGGCAGCAGUAAGGAAUUUUCGGCAAUGGAGGAAACUCUGACCGAGCAACGCCGCGUGAACGACGAAGUACUUUGGUAUGUAAAGUUCUUUUAUCAAGGAAGAAAAGCAAGUGGCGAACCAUUUGUUUGCCGGUACUUGAUGAAUAAGCCCCGGCUAAUUAUGUGCCAGCAGCCGCGGUAAGACAUAAGGGGCAAGUGUUAUCCGGAAUUAUUGGGCGUAAAGGGUGCGUAGGCGGUCUAGUAAGUCAGUGGUGUAAUGGCAACGCUCAACGUUGUCCGGCUAUUGAAACUGCUAAACUUGAGUUAGAUAGAGGCGAGUGGAAUUCCAUGUGUAGCGGUAAAAUGCGUAAAUAUAUGGAGGAACACCAGAGGCGUAGGCGGCUCGCUGGGUCUUAACUGACGCUGAGGCACGAAAGCGUGGGGAGCAAACAGGAUUAGAUACCCUGGUAGUCCACGCCGUAAACGAUGAGUACUAAGUGUCGGGUUAAACCGGUACUGAAGUUAACACAUUAAGUACUCCGCCUGAGUAGUACGUACGCAAGUAUGAAACUUAAAGGAAUUGACGGGACUCCGCACAAGCGGUGGAUCAUGUUGUUUAAUUCGAAGAUACCCGAAAAACCUUACCAGGUCUUGACAUGUUUUUGCGAAACGGUAGUAAUAUCGUAGAGGUUAUCAGAAACACAGGUGGUGCAUGGUUGUCGUCAGCUCGUGUCGUGAGAUGUUAGGUUAAGUCCUAAAACGAGCGAAACCCUUAUCGUUAGUUGCCAGCACGUUAUGGUGGGGACUUUAACGAGACUGCCAGUGAUAAACUGGAGGAAGGUGAGGAUCACGUCAAAUCAGCAUGCCCCUUAUGACCUGGGCUACAAACGUGAUACAAUGGCUGUUACAAAGGGUAGCUGAAACGUAAGUUCUUGGCCAAUCCCCAAAAACAGUCUCAGUCCGGAUUGAAGUCUGCAACUCGACUUCAUGAAGUUGGAAUCGCUAGUAAUCGCGAAUCAGCAUGUCGCGGUGAAUACGUUCUCGGGGUUUGUACACACCGCCCGUCAAACCA